rnacentral:lncRNA from 1 species
GAACUCCGAAUGGAACAACUAUCCGCACAGAAAACCACCUUCAUAAGAACGAAAAAUCAGAUGAGCAUGUGUGAGAGAGAAACAGACCCAGAGCUGGAGGCAGAGAAUGGGACACAGAAAGAGGAAACAAAGAAACCAUGGCGUCUUAAGGUAAUAAAAUUAUUUGCAAAGUUAUUGAAUAGUAAUAGUAAUAUUGCAUUUGCACAUUAUACAUUCCCUUUUCUUUCAAGUUUCAGUAUAUCUCAAUAGUCUAAGUGCAGUAUGGCUGCUAUUGCAGACAGAACUGGGGGAAACAGAGCAGGAGACAUAUGAGGAAAAAAAAUGACACGUAUGUUUGCAUGUAGAGUUCACCUUCUUCAUUCCUCUCUCCUAGUUCAGUUAGUGGGAAGAUUCUGCUGCUGUUUCUUUCGUUUAACAGCUUAUCUGCUUUGACAAAGACAAACCAACUUGGACUUGUUGUGGCCCUUCGGGAAAUAUUCUAUAUCUAGAGGUGAAAUGGAUCGAUUUUAUUAAAACUGUUGUGCAAUCUCUGCUGAAGGAAGAAAAUUAUAUUUUUCUUCACUGAAGAUUGAAGAAAAGAAAAAAUCUGAAUAAAUAUUUUAUGUUAUAUUCGAUUUUAAAAAUACAUAUGGAGAGGAUACAGAGAUUGCCUUUAAACUUCAAUUUUGGAAAUAAAUACAUAAAUUUACAUAUUCAUGGUUAGGAAUAUGAAUAAAGUUAAAAGGACUUAAUAAAUGAGUUCUUUUAUCAAUAAAUUAAGGUUUUCAUUACACUUAAUCAAAUUUUUGUGAACUCCAACAGUGUUUUUUUUACCCUGUCCUCCUUCCCUAUUUCUCCGUCUCUCCCUUCCUUCAUUUCUUCCUUUCUUCUCCUUCCUUCUUUUGAGAAGCUAAAAUAAGUGGUUUUGACAUCUGGCUUAAAAAUAUAUCCUCACAUCCUCUCCCACAAGAACCUCUCUGAUAUUUCAAGUAAAUCCUCUACAAAAGUUUUGAAGUUCUAAAACAAUCACAAAGUUUUAUUAUCUCUCAAGAUUCUCCAGGACUAUGAAAACUCAGGUAUGCCAGAAUGGCAUUGGAAAGGAACAAGAAGUGCAACUGUUAGCUUUGUUCCUCUCCAGUUAGGGUAGCUGCAUUGCUACUAUUUUUCUGCAGCAAAACCUGCUUCUCUAAGUUUUUUCCUAUCCCCUAGUCCCCAGCAUUCUGGACUGCAAAAGUAUGUGACCAUCCUAUCCACAAGUAGUACAUAUUUUUGUUAAGAAAACAGAGGAACAUGUAAUUGAUUUCUUAUUAAUGAAAAGAGGCUGUUGUCAAAAUAAGAGACAAUUUGAGAAAGAAGGGGAAAUUCAGCCUGUUGCCACAUCACUCAAGGCACGCUGUACUUGGCUUAACAAUUAAAGGGAAAUGAAUUGAAAAUGAAGACUUGUUACAUUUUCUUUUGUAGUCAAUUCUUCUUUCAACCUCUCCCAGGAAGGAGAAUGUGUUUUUCCUCCCAAACAAGGAGCAGCAGGGGUUAUCUUUUUUUGGACAAGCUAAAAUCUAUCUCCUUGUCAAAGGAGACAGACCAGGUCAAAGACGACUCUGCCUCCCAGAACAGAGAAGACUCUGCCUCCCAGUGCAGAAGCUGAGAUUCUGGUUCAUGACAAGAACCAAGGAUUCUUGGGAGGAAGCAAAAUGCCGUUUCACUUGCUGGGCCACAAACUGCAGCACUGAUUUAAAAAUUAUAUAUAUGACAUUUUUUGAGCCAUGCCAAAACCCUUUUCUCAUUUUAGUGUCUAGUGGUUAGUUUGUUUGUUAUGUGUGACAUCCUUUUUUUUCCCCUCUAAGAACCAUGAAACUAUGCAAAGAAUAGAAAGACCACAGGAUGGUCCUAUGGGGAUGUCACUGCUUGAAAAGCAAAACUGCUAGUGAAUUAACUAUGUUUUGCAGGGAUUAAGAACAGUCAACAGUCUGCAGCAGAACGAAUGUGAUUGGAAUGUUUUCAAAGGCCUUCCCCGACUCAAACAUUUUUUUUUUUAAGAAAGAGUCUCAGUUUUGUCACCCAGGCUGAGUGCAAUGGCAUCAUCUAGACUCACUGCAACCUCUGCCUCCUGGGUUCAAGCAAUUCUCCUGCCUCAGCCUCCCGAGUAGCUAGGAUUGCAGGUGCCUGCCACCAUGCCUGGUUAAUAUUUUUGUAUUUUUAGUAGAGACGGGAUUUCACCAUGUUGGCCAGGCUGGUCUCAAACUCCUGACCUCGGGCGAUUCACCCAUCUCAGCCCACACAGUGCUAGGAUUACAGGCAUAAGCCACUGCAACUGGUCAACUUUUUAUUUAAAAAAAAUUCAAACCUACAGAAAUUGCAAGUAUAGUAAAAUAAGCACUCAUAUGCCCUUUGUGUAGCUCUGUGCUAAUUGGUAGAAUAGCCACUAUCCACAUGUGGUGAUUGGCCACUUGAAAAGUGGCUAGUCCAAAUUGAAAUUUGUUAUUCUACAUGUCUUUCUAAAAUACAACUAAUUCCUAAUGUUUUCUGAAAAGUGGAUAGAUACAUUGGCCCUGAACGAAGCAAAUAAAAACUGAAUAAAUAUAAACCACAUAAAAUGAUAUCUAGAAAAUAUACAUACAUAAAGCAUAUAUAUAUGCAUAUAAAGUCUAGACCCACAGGUAUGUAUCUGUGUUUAAAAGUUCAAAAGCCAAUGGUCAGUGA